rnacentral:rRNA from 1 species
UACGUAGGGUGCAAGCGUUGUCCGGAAUUACUGGGCGUAAAGCGUGCGUAGGCGGCUAUGUAAGACAGAUGUGAAAUCCCUGGGCUUAACCUAGGAACUGCAUUUGUGACUGCAUUGCUGGAGUGUGGUAGAGGGAGAUGGAAUUCCGCAUGUAGCAGUGAAAGUGACGUAGAUAUGCGGAGGAACACCAAUGGCGAAGGCAAUCUCCUGGACC